ensembl:lncRNA
UGGGGACGUGGCAUUCAAUCUCACGUUCAAAAGUAAUUAUCAUACAUCUGUCAUCAAUGAAAUUAUUCUGAUCAACCCCAAGUAAAGACCAGCUGUUUCUGUAGGCUUGUCUUCACAUCGUCUUGGUUUCAUCCGAAGGCUGAAGCCAUGGUCUGCGAAGAGCUGACGAAGCAUGCAGGGAAUCUCACUGUCGAAAGGAAUCGAUCAGGAGAGAGGGGUAUUGAAGUAUUUCCUUAACAUUAAAUGUACCAACGAAGGCAACCGACAACAAAUGUAGAAAACAGAGCACCACAGUGACAUCACCAAGAACAGGACGUCCCUGCAAAAUUUACUAAAAAGGAGAGGACAAAAUCUUACCAGGGAGGCUGCCAAGAGACCCACGGCAACAUUAAAGGAGCUGCAGGAGAGUCAUCUGACAAGUACAGAUUACUCUCUGCAUGUGACCACAAUCUCUCAUAUUCUUCACAUGUCUGGACUUUGGAAUAGGGUGGCUAGAAGGAAACCCUUUCUCUCACACACAAAAAAAAAACCCCUCGUGGCAAAAUGUCUUAUGGUCAGACGAGACCGAUUCCAAAAGUUAUAAUAAUCCAUAAUAUCAAAAAGUAUGUUUGGUGCAAAAGAAAAAACGCACAUCACCAAAAGAACACCAUACUCACGUUGAAGCAUGGUGGUGGUGGCAUCAUGCUUUAGGGCUGCUUUUCUUCAGUCAGAACUGGGGCUUUUAAUAAGUGCAUCGUCACGUGUCUGCUAGUAAGCUGAAGAUGAAACGGAAUUUCCCCUUUUCGACAUGACGCUGACCCGAAGCAUGAAUCUAGAUCAACAAAGGAAUGGUUUAACAUAAAGAAGAUCAAUGUUUUUGAAUGAUCUCGCCAGAGCCCAGACCUGAAUCCAACUGAAAAUCUGUGGAGUGACCUGAAGCGGGCUUUGCACGGGAGAUUUGCCCUCUAAAUUUUUUUUAUAGCUCUAGAAUGUUUCUCCAAGAAAGAGUGGGGGGAAAAAUUCCCAGGUCAAGAUGUGCCAUGCAGUCUUACCCAAAAUAAAAUCAAAAGGUACUUGAACAAAGUAUUAGUUUAGGGGUGUGCACACUUAUGCUUCUAUGGUAUUGUAAGUUUUGUUUUGUUUUGUUUAUCCUUUGUCAUUUUACAUUAAGGGUGGGAAACGUUCUGACACGAUUUAUGACGAAACCCUGCCGUUUUAACACGAGUGUAUAGACUUGUUGUAUCCACUGUAAAUACUGUUCCAUGUUUGCCCGAACAGUGUGGAGGAGUUGUGUGCGGUAGAUCUGUAUGAUCCGGACACUCAUGACAGCCAUGCCAAGCUGGAACUCUUACUCUCAGCUUGUAAACAGCUUCACCAGAGUGGGAUUCUCAGCUCUGUCCUACACGAACAGGUAUCCUGCAUUCAGCUCAAUUUGAUUUCAGGGCAGUUUUUAUUAUUUACAUGGGGCCGUGGUGUGUCAGCGGUUAAAGGCUAUGGGUUACUGAUCAGAAGGUCAGGA